UACGUAGGGGGCAAGCGUUAUCCGGAUUUACUGGGUGUAAAGGGAGCGUAGACGGACUGGCAAGUCUGAUGUGAAAGGCGGGGGCUCAACACCUGGACUGCAUUGGAAACUGUUAGUCUUGAGUGCCGGAGAGGUAAGCGGAAUUCCUAGUGUAGCGGUGAAAUGCGUAGAUAUUAGGAGGAACACCAGUGGCGAAGGCGGCUUACUGGACGGUAACUGACGUUGAGGCUCGAAAGCGUGGGGAGCAAACAGG
rnacentral:rRNA from 1 species